rnacentral:lncRNA from 1 species
UUAGAUCAUUUUAUGAUAACGCUUUUUUCUAGAGGAUGUAUACUAGUUAUACUAGUACCUUCUAUUGUCUGAUAUGUGGUAUAUUGAUUUUCUAGAGUAUUUAUCUUAUUUUUUUCAAAAUCUGGAAUUUCAACAUUUCUUUCUAGUAACGUUCUUCUUAGCCAUGUAAAAACUCCUAUACUACAGGUUUUUGUUUUAUAUAACUUAUUAUAUCUUUUAUGGAAUAGUUCUAUUAAUCUGGGUUGAAAUCUUUUAAGAUACCAUUCUCGCAUAUCUGUAUUUUCUUUGGAAAGAUAAUCUUGUUCUAUCCAUUGUUUAGAUACUCUUUUAGUAAGAGUUAAAAUAUGAAAAUUUAUUUCUGUAUCAGAAAGGUCUGGCUCAGUUUUUAAUGUUGGUUGGUAUUGUGGG